UGAUAGAUCUUCAGAUGAUGAAACAGCUGGAAGUACAGAAGCACCGGCCCAAUAUCAGCAACUUCCAAUUGAAGACAAUUCAACAAGAAUUGGUUCUAGUUCAGGAAAACGUUUAAUUGGCCCAAGAAGCUAAGCAAGAUGAGGAAGAGAAUCAGAAUUAAUUUUCUUUACAAGUCAGUCCAGCAGAUUAUUCACAAGAGCAGACCCAUUGCUGAAGGCUCCCGCAUCAGUGAGAUCUAAGGAAGGGAUAAUACAUCGGGUCAAAAUGAUCUUUGACUAGGGAUUGUGAACAAUCACAGCUGGUCUGCAAAGCAUAAUAGCAACAGUAUGAACAUGUAAAGGGAGUUACUAGUCACUAAAGCUCUUUCAAGAAUUGUCUAUGAAGGAAAAAAAAUUCUAGAUAGUGUAUGGAUAGCUUACAUGCUUUACUGGAAUGCAGAAUUAUGAUUUAAUG
rnacentral:lncRNA from 1 species